rnacentral:lncRNA from 1 species
CACAGUGCAAGCAGUGGGUGGGAGCCUGCUGCCGCCCUGAAGCCCCGAGCUUUGAGACAAAGAACAUGAGGAUGGAAUCCAAGAGACUCAACUCAGGCUAGCCUUAGCAACCCAACUCCUUUGCUAUCUGACUUGGUCCAGCUCAGCACUUGGCUACUCAGUGAACAUUGAUUCAACCAAAUGAACUGAUUCAAGGGAGUGACUUUUGAAAUUGCCUCCUGCUAAUGUAACCAGAAAGUACAGCAUCUUGGAUGGAGAUACCAAAGAUCACAAGAUCUUUCUUUGUGCUUCAGAGUCACAUGGAGAAUCUCAUUGGUACAACCCAAAUUUGUAAGGCCAUACAGAAGUUUGCAUGGAAGGCUACAUGACUUUGAAGAAAGUAUAUAUAAAACAUGUGCAAGCUGAACACAUCCAGGGCUACAAGGGCUACACAGAGAAACCUUGUCUUGAAAAAGAAAGAAAGAAAGAAACAAACAAACAAACAAAAAGAAAAGAGUAAAUUACAACACAUGUUUAUUUUUGGUUUAUUUUUUAUUUUUUUGCUAUGGUUUGAUCUAUCUAGAAGAAAUGAAUGGCUGUGGUGUGACUUAAGGUUACAGGUUGAUUGUCCAAUGUUAAGAAAAACAUGAAUUUUGGCUUUCUGGGGAUUAUAAAAUGACUGCAGUGUAUUUAAAUGAGUGCUUAAGUACAGGAUUAUUUGUUAUGGCAUAAAUAUACUAUUAGAAAAAAUAAAUAAAAGUAAACAGAAUAAAAGAAAAAAAAAAAAAAAAAAAA